AUUGAACGCUGGCGGCAUGCCUUACACAUGCAAGUCGAACGGCAGCGCGGGGGCAACCCUGGCGGCGAGUGGCGAACGGGUGAGUAAAAUAUCGGAACGUGCCCUAAAGUGGGGGAUAACGUAGCGAAAGUUACGCUAAUACCGCAUAAGAUCUAAGGAUGAAAGCGGGGGAUCGCAAGACCUCAUGCUUUAGGAGUGGCCGAUAACCGAUUAGCUAGUUGGUGGGGUAAAGGCUCACCAAGGCGACGAUCAGUAGCUGGUCUGAGAGGACGACUAGCCACACUGGGACUGAGGCACGGCACAGACUCCUACGGGAGGCAGCAGUGGGGAAUUUUGGACAAUGGGGGCAACCCUGAUCCAGCAAUGCCGCGUGUGUGAAGAAGGCCUUCGGGUUGUAAAGCACUUUUGUUCGGGACGAAACGGUUUGGGCUAAUACCCUGAGCUAAUGACGGUACCGGAAGAAUAAGCACCGGCUAACUACGUGCCAGCCGCCGCAGUAA
rnacentral:rRNA from 1 species